CGAUUUCCGUUCCUCCUAUUAACGUUGUAAGGACACCUCCCCUUCCAGAUCCGGACACAACCGUCUUUAUAGAUAGCGCAGUGGCCGCAGUGUAGCAGAGUGUUGAGUUCGCCCACAGCCGCUUGAUCGGGGUGUUCAACAAGUUGUAUGUUAUGCAGGUUACGCACAUGUUUUUGUUUGUGUUGUGUUUUUGCGAGAUAAAUGAGAACAAUAAAUUCAAAAUGUAAUCGCAGUAUUGUUUUAAGUGAAGUGUAAUAUAGUUUUCAGUAAUUUGGGGUAUUGGUCCCACAUCAGCCGGGUCAAGUUUGACCAAGACUAAUCUAGGUUGUCGUCAGGAAGAUUCUCACUAUUCUUGCUGUCCAGAGCAGUACCUCCCUCUGCGCUGUGUCAAUAAGGUUUAACUCGAGAUCUAAGGAAUUUGUGUGGUCUCUCAGAUGGCUUUCAACAAGCCCGUUAGUACUGAUUAUAAGAGGGAGAAUGGUUACUGUUCUCAGUUUAUGGAUCUCUUUCAGUUCAAAAGCGAGGUCCUGAUAUUUGCCGAGCUUCUCAGAGUAUGCUUUGAUGAUAUUAUCAUCAGCUGGGACCGUUAUAUCUAUUAUAGUGGCUUCUUUAUCUACUUUGUUGAACAGCACUAUGUCAGGUCUAUUGUGCGCUAUCUUCCUGUCGGUUUGGAUGACAUUAUCCCAGUACACUGUUAGGAGACCUGUUUUGAUGGCUAUGGCUUGAUGGUAAAUUUUUGCCAUUGCAUUAUGGCGGUUCGUGUACUCUUUAGGAGCCAGGAUGGAGCACGACGAGGUGAUGUUUGGAUGGACUCAAGAGCUUGUCCAC